rnacentral:lncRNA from 1 species
GUCUAAGGAAGUUUUGCCCUUCAGUAUCAAAAUAUAGUACUGGGAGGUGCUAAGUUUAUCCUGAAGAUCUCUGAGCAUACUCAGCUCCUGUGCAAGCAAGACAUGAAGUGCUUGUUGUAUCUGUUGACUUGGAUUCAAGGUCUUAUUAUGCAAAACAAAAUUCCAAUUGAAUCCAGUGUGAACUACUCAUAUGUAGACUUAAAUACUGGCUCUUAUCAUAUUUAGCUGAUGAUAAAUUAUGAGAUAACAUUCUGAUGUCUGAGUUACAUGCACUAAAGCUAGCCUUUGUGGGUAGAAGUGUGGUUCCUGGAGUGAUUGCCAAGAAGGAAUAAUCACCUUUAAAAAAAGCAAACAAAACAACUGCCAGUAUUUAUGUGUAUACUUGAGUUUGAAAACACCAUAACGAAGGAAGAAGUUCUAUUACUAAGGCAAAAAAUAUUCUGGUUUUUGACACAAGAGUCUGUGUUGAACUGUUUGCUACCUACAACCAGAAGGGGCAGCCUGAAGACAGUCUGGGGCCAUAGGAUAUAUGUAUUCUGCAAAGUAGAGGGAAGAAUUUGUAGGAAGCCACUCUUCCCCAGUUCUUCCACAUAGACUCUUAGCAGGCUGGAUUUUUUUUUACAAUGAAGUCAUCUAUAUGGCUGUUCUUUCUGUUUGUGCUAUCAUACAUGGCUUGCAGAUUGUGAAGAUAGAGACAUGGGAACAGGCUAAUACGAAUGCCUGGGAAUAGAAGAUAAUACAGAUUUUACCUUUCUCAAUGCUAAUUCUCUGGCUCUGCAUCUUGGCAGAUCCAUAAAAGGUUGUAUUUUAAGACUUCUGAGUCUAAAAUAAAGGUGUUGAAGAACAGUGUUUUAACA